UUUAUGCUUUGCGAACUUAUAUGCAGCGAUUCGAGGUUAUGCACUAUCAUACCUUUCUUCUUGUGCUGGUAGAAUCCGGUAUUUGUUGAAUACCCCUGGGAUGGUGGCUCUUGACUUAGAUUCAAGCUUGAAAGGUCUUUUCCAGCAGAUUGUUCAGCAGCUUGAAAACAUACCAAAACCACAGGGUGAAAAUGUAUCUGCCAUUACAUGUGAUCUAUCUGAAUUCCGAAAGGAUUGGUUAUCAAUAUUGAUGAUAGUCACAUCUUCCCGAUCAUCUAUAAACAUAAGACAUUUGGAGAAAGCUACAGUUUCUACAGGGAAAGAAGGCUUAUUAUCGGAAGGAAAUGCUGCAUACAAUUGGUCGAGGUG